AUAAAAACAACUGCUUAAAUAAGUCUAUAGAUAUAUCAUUCUUUCCAAGUAUUUCAGUCAAGUAUUUUCUAUCCUAGUCCAAAAAAAGCCUGACACUAAAUUAUGUAUCUCCCUUCUCCAAUUCCAAUCAGGCAUACUAUUAGUGAAUGAUCUCUGCAAGAUUCCAACAUUCAUAAAGAACAUAAUGUGGUCAUGACCUCCCUGACUUCUCAAGGAGGUGAGAACCUCAAAAAGGUGAUCACGCCUUCCCUGACUGCUCAAAAAAGGAGUGAAAAUACCAUAAGAAGAAGGUGGUCAUGUCGUCCCUGACAUCUCAGGAAGGUGGAUGAAAACACCAAAGGAAAUAGGAAGUCAAAUCAGAUUAAUGGGUUUCUGAAGGGGCUCACUUGAAACAGAUCAUAGAAAGGGAGGUGAUCGAGGAAGAUCAUGGACAAUUUCCAUGACAUCCAAGAAGUACAAGAGUUAAAGGGAAGUCUGAAGAUACAAGAAUCCAUGGAUGAGGAACUGCAAAGGCAAAAAAUAUCACAAGUUUAUUAAAAACUGGGAACUGGCCUGAACACAUUUCCUGAUGCACUAGGAGUAUGAGGGCAUGAAGAGGCUGGAUACUUGACAAAGUUUAGUGAGGAAACAACGUCUAUUAAAAAGGGAAGUCUGGAGAGAAAAAAUAAAUUCUAUUACACUUCAGAGUUGUGGUUCAGUAUGGUAUGAUGAUAAUAUUCAAACUUCAGAGAUAAGAAAACCUUUCUUUUUUGCUUUUUUGAGGAAGAGAUUUUUUUCUACAUUCUGGCAAAAUGUAGAUAAUAGUUUUUGUAUUUCUUAUUGCUGUUGCUAUUAUUAUUUGUCUGUACCUAGAAUUUAAUCACUGCAAUUUAAUCACUUCUGGUCAGAGAAUAUCCUCUACCAAAACAGAUUAGCAAUUGUUCUGCAACUUGUAUGACCUUAAAAAGUUGCUUAGGGGCACUGAGAGGAUAUGUGAAUGAUCCAGGAUCACAUAACCAAUAUAUGUCAAAUGUGAGACUUUUAUCAUUUUGAGUAUUAUUAUUAGUUAUAAUAAUAUAUCUUAGGAUCACAAAGCACUUUUACAUUCAUUAUAUCAAAAAAAAAACCUAACCAAACCCUGUGUAGUUCCAUACUUGUGAGGUAGGUAAUAUAAAUGUUUGUUCCCAUUUUAUAAAUGAAGAAAUUUAGGUUCAUUAAAAAGUAAAAUGACUGGUGUAAAUUAAGACAGGGAUUCCACUCUUUCAGCCAUCUCACAAUGUCUCCCUCUUCUGUUUGAGAAUAUAUUACCUAAUAGUCAGGUUAAAGAAUUGGGUAUAAAAUUGCCAAACAUAAAAUAAAACUUUAAUAAUUUUUUUUAAUGUGUUAUGGGAAAUUGUUGAUUUUCAUUUCCUUUUAUUAAUUUUUAUUAUUUGGGGAUAUCAGGUUAUUUCUCCUUGUUAGGAGUUUAUUAAGUUAACUGAAGCUAUCCUAUGGAAUAUGAAAUUUUAUUUAAGGCCUUAAACAUUCCUCUAGUAAAUCUCAGAUGUCCUCACUCUUUGGCAACAUGUAAAUCUCUUCUCAUUUUCUCAAUCAACCCUUUGUGAACCCACUAAAUGUAGUUUAGUCUACAACACAGAAUUUUAUAAACUAAAUUCUUCUCAGAGAAGUUUAUAUUUGAUCUUAGAAUUAAUAAGGGGAUAUUUAAACUUUUCAAAUAAGACUAUGGUAUGGUCAGAUCUAGACUUGAGGAGAAUCACAACUGUGUAAUGAAAGAUGAGGCUUACCUUAUAGUUGCAGUAGAAAAUGACCACAAAUAUAAAGGUCAUUGCAGUUCAUAUUUAGAAGGAAGCAUUGUGACUAUCUAAUCUAACCCCUCUUUGAAACAGAAUCAUUACAAUAUAUGUUUAACAAGAAGAACUGAAGUCAAUGGAAAGGAACCAAGACUUCCAGAAAUCUACUUUUGGAUUCUUUUCCUGAAAGACUUUCAAUGCAUAACAAUACAGCACCAUACUUAAAACUUUCACUGCAUAGUAGAACCUGGCUAUAAGUUGAAUUCUCCUGGAACAACUUCUGAGAAAAUGGUGUCACCUCCACACCAGGAUUCAUAGAGGACAGUUGAACAUACACACUAGAUUUCAGGUGAGCAUAUUUCAAAGAGUUCAAAAAAAGAUACUUGCCCAUCAUUUCAUAUAGCACAAUAGUAAUCUAUAUCCAUAUGUAACAACUUGUUCAGCUAUUCUUUAACUGAUGGGCAUCCUCUCAAUUUCUAAUUCUUUAUCACCACAAAAAAUGCUAAACUAUUUUUGUGUAUGAAGUAUUUUGCAUUUUUUAAAAAAUGAUCUCUUUGGGAUACAGACUAGUAGUGGUAUUGCUGGAUCAGAGGGUAUGUACAGUUUCUUUGACCCUUGAAGAUAGUUCCAAAUUGCUCUAAUUGUACUACUUCACAACUCCACCAACAAUAUAUUAGGAUUAUGCUUUUCCUACAUCUUCUCCAACAUUUCCCUUUUCUGUUAAAUUUGCCAAUUUUAUAUGUAGGAAGUUGUUUUAAUUUGCAUUUCUCUAAUCAAAAGGUAUUUAGAUCAUUUUUAUAUGACUAUUGAUACUUUUGAUUUCUUUAUCUGAACACUGCUUGUUCAUAUCCUUUGUCAUUUAUUAUUUGGAGAAGGACUUGUAUUGUUAUAAAUUUGAUUCAUUUCUUUAUAUAUAUUUGAGAAAUGAGACAUUUAUCAGAGAUACUUGCUGUAAAAAUUGUUUACCACCUUUUCCUUUUCCUUGUACUUUUGGUUACAUUUGUUUUGUUUGUGCAGAGUCUUUUUAGUUUAAUAUAAUAAAAAAUAUCUAUUUUGCUUGUUGCAAUGCUAUUUUUGAGUUUGGGUCAUAAAUUCUUCCCUUCAUUACCAAAACCAUUUGGUAUUGGCUAAGGAAUAGACUAGUUGAUCAAUGAAAUAGAUUAGGUUCAAAGGACAAAAUAGUCAAUAACUUUAAUAAUCUAGUGUUUGGCAAACCCAAAGACCCCAGCUUUUGGUUUAAGAACUCACUGUUUGACAAAAACUGCUGGGAAAAUUGGAAACUAGAAUGGCAGAAACUAGGCAUUGACCUACACUUAACACCGUACACCAAGAUAAGGUCAAAAUGGGUUCAUGACCUAGGCAUAAAGAAUGAGAUUAUAAAUAAAUCAGAAGAACAUAGGAUAAUUUAUUCUCAGACCUGUGGAAGAGGAAGGAAUUUAUGACCAAAGAAGAACUAGAGAUCAUUAUUGAUCACAAAAUAGAAACUUUUGAUUAUAUGAAAUUGAAAAGUUUUUGUACAAACAAAUCUAAUGCAGACAAGAUUAGAAGGGAAGCAAUAAACUGGGAAAACAUUUUUACAGUCAAAGGGUCUGAUAAAAGCUUCAUUUCCAAAAUAUAUAGAUAAUUCACUCUAAUUUUAUAAGAAAUCAAGCCAUUCCCCAGUUGAUAAAUGGUCAAAGGAUAUGAACGGACAAUUCUCAGAUGAAGAAAUUGAAACUAUCUCUAGCCAUAUGAAAAGAUGCUCCAAGUCAUUAUGAAUCAGAGAAAUGCAAAUUAAGACAACUCUGAGACCACUAUACACCUGUCAGAUUGGCUAGAAUGAUAGGGAAAGAUAAUGAGGAAUGUUGGAGGGGAUGUGGGAAAAUUGGGACACUGAUACAUUGUUGGUGGAAUUGUGAAUAUAUCUAGCCAUUCUGGAGAAUGAUUUGGAACUAUGCUCAAAAAGUUAUCAAACUAUGCAUACCCUUUGAUCCAACAGUGUUACUCCUGGACUUGUAUGUGCAAGAAUGUUUGUGGCAGCCCUCUUUGUGUGGCCAGAAACUGGAAACUGAGUAGAUGCCCAUCAAUUGGAGAAUGGCUGAAUAAAUUGUGGUAUAUGAAUAUUAUGGAAUAUUAUAGUUCUGUAAGAAAUGACCAGCAGGAUGAUUUCAGAAAGGCCUGGAGAGACUUACAUGAACUGAUGCUAAAUGAAAUGAGCAGGAUCAGGAGAUCAUUAUAUACUUCAACAACAAGACUAUAUGAUGAUCCAUUCUGAUGAAUGUGGCCCUCUUCAACACUGAGAUGAACCAAAUCAAUUUCAAUAGAGCAGUAAUGAAUUGUACCAGCUACAUCCAGCAAAAGAACUCUGGGAAAUGAGUAUGAACCACUACAUAGAAUUCCCAAUCCCUCUAUUUUUGUCCACUUACAUUUUUUAUUUCCUUCACAGGUUAAUUGUAACUAUUUCAAAGUCUGAUUCUUUUUGUACAGCAAAAUAACUGUAUGGACAUGUAUACAUAUAUUGCAUUUAACUUAUACUUUAACAUAUUUAACAUGUAUUGAUCACCCUGCAAGCUGGGGAAGAGGGUGGGGGAAAGGAGAGGAAAAAUUGUAACAAGAGGUUUUGCAAUUGUCAAUGCUGAAAAAUUACCCAUGCAUAUAUUUUGUAAAUAAAAAGCUAUAAUAAAAUUUUUUUUAAAAAAUUCUUCCCUUCUCCAUAGAUAUGACAGAUAAAUUAUUCUUUGCUUUCCUAAUUUGCUUAUGGUAUCAAUCUUUUUAUUUAAAUCAUGUACCCAUUUAAAUCCUAUAACCAGUUUAGCUAUGUGGCGUGAAAUGUUGAUCUAUGCCUAGUUUCUGCCAUAUUAUUUUCCAGUUUUCUCUGCAGUUUUUGUCAAACAGUGAAUUUUUAUCCCAAAAGCUGGGAUCUUUUUUUUUUAAUCAAAUAGUAGAUUACUAUAGUCAUUUAUGUAGUUUCAUAUACCUAAUCUAUUUUAUUGAUCCACCACUAGUACCAGAUAGUUCUGAUGAGUACCACUUUAAAAUAGAGUUUUAGAUUUAGUAUUACUAAGUUACCUUCCUU